rnacentral:rRNA from 1 species
AACGAACGCUGGCGGCAGGCCUAACACAUGCAAGUCGAGCGCCCCGCCAGGGGAGCGGCGGACGGGUGAGUAACGCGUGGGAAUAUGCCCUUUGCUACGGAAUAGUCUCGGGAAACUGGGGGUAAUACCGUAUACGCCCUUUGGGGGAAAGAUUUAUCGGCGAAGGAUUAGCCCGCGUGGGAUUAGGUAGUUGGUGGGGUAAUGGCCUACCAAGCCGACGAUCCAUAGCUGGUUUGAGAGGAUGAUCAGCCACACUGGGACUGAGACACGGCCCAGACUCCUACGGGAGGCAGCAGUGGGGAAUCUUAGACAAUGGGGGCAACCCUGAUCGAGCCAUGCCGCGUGAGUGAUGAAGGCCUUAGGGUUGUAAAGCUCUUUCAGCUGGGAAGAUAAUGACGGUACCAGCAGAAGAAGCCCCGGCUAACUCCGUG